UUUGCGCACCCAUUUGGCCGCCAAAUUCUACGAUUUCGAUCGAAUCCUGUGUCGGUUCGUCCUCUGGAUCUGCGAACCGACGCCGGAAUCUGCUCUCACGAUCGGUACAGUUACUGCGCAUUUUCUUGCCGACGUUGGGUUCUAGGGUUAGGGUUUGCUCGUCUCCUGCUAGCCUGGGCUCCUUGCCGGAUCUCUGAAUUUCAGGUCAUACAUAUUUCUCAAGCAUAACAAGCAGCCUUUGGUUGAUGAUAGGACCAGCCAACAUGUUAUUGAGCAAGUCAGACAACUGGAGUGUGAUAGUCACCUGGCAUCAGUUGCUAAGGUUCUUCCAUCUAGGGAUGGACUGCUGAAAAUCUUGAACAGCAACAGAGAUAUAAAAAUUGUGAGUACUCUUGCUAUGGAUACUAAGUUACUUAGUGUACAUGGUAGGACUUCUUUAUUACCUGGGAUGGGCAACAUCUCUGAAGGGAUUUUUCCAGGGCAAAGCAAACGGCGUUUUUGUGAUGAUGAAGCUUACUUAUUUACAUGCCAGCAUCCAGAGCAAGUGGACCAGAAUGUGCAUUUGAAUCCAUACACAGAAACUGAGUUUACAGCCUCUCUGCCACCAGCUUCAGCUAGUUUCAUUACAUUUGUGACUUCCAUCUUUUGAUCUUGUAAGGAGAGAGUGAAGGCUUAUAAGUGAUUCGAUGACUUAGGCUUAGUUGUUGCCAAUCACGAUUUGAAGAAAACUGAGGCUGCUGUUCAUGUGGAUGUUUCUGACAAGGUACUGGUAGCAGCCAGCUUACAUAUGAUUGUAGUGAUGAAGAAACUGUUUUGGAAUCACCUGUUGGGGUUGAUUUUGUUUCUAGUUAUUUGAAAAUUGCCGUCAAGCAGAUAAGUUUUUAUCACCUUCUUUUGAUUACUUUCCUCGAAAACCUUUUGUUAUUGGAGUGAAUCAUCGAGCUGAUGUUCUGGAGUCAUGUUCACAUAGUUGCAAGAAAAUUGAGGAAUCUAGUCAUUAUGCUUCUCCAGUGGUAAAUUCAAGCGGUUGUCAUUUAGUGAACAAAGAUGACAGAGAACAGUCGAUAGGGUCUUGUGUCAUUCCAAUGCCUGAUUCUUGUUCGUUGGAAUCAGAAAAUACAGUUGUACUUACACAAAACUGACUGUAGCUGCUUGGAUGAGGGUUCAGUUAGAUGCAUAAGACAGCAUAUGAAGGUUGCAUGAAAAAAGCUUGAGAAAUUUUGGGAACAGGAUAAAAUUGAUAUGGGGUUUAUGUGACAUGGGAGAGGAUGUAGCCCAUAAGUGGACCACAGAGGAGCAUUUGUUCCUAGAAGUUGUCCUAUCAAAUCCUGCAUCAUUGGGUAAGAACUUAUGGGUUGUAUUGCCUUUAUUUUUCCUGCUCGAAGUAAAAACGAGUUAGUCAGUUACUGCUUCAAUGUGUUCAUGCUACAGAAGAGAGCUGAACAGAACUGGUUAGAUCCACUGAAUGCUGAUAGUGAUGAUGACAAAUGGCAAGGAAGUGAUGAUAAUGAGUUUGCAGCCGAAGAGGAAAUUGAAUAAGAUUCUGUUGUAGAGACACUUCCAGAUGAAGAUGCUGUUACUUUUAACAAAGUUGAGCAUGAGGAUGAUGAGAUGAAUGAAGAUGAUGAGGAUGGCGAGGAGCAUGACGACUAUGCCGCCAUUGCUGGGGAGAAUGAUGCAGGUUUCUCUGGUGGUACUAAAGGCUACAAUAUUGAUAGGCCAAACUUUCUGCCUCCCAUGGAACACAGACGAGCAUUUGCAGACUUCUAUGGUGGAGCUAGAUGUUCAAGAUGAAUCAGGCACAUCCUAUGAGCGCCUGCAUGGUGCAGGUUCCUGUGGUCUUGCUAACAUUGUGGUUGCCAGCACGGUCUGACGAAGGGACUCUAUGAGAUCUUGCGUAGGGAGCACAAAAAUGAUGGUUCAAGUGAUUCGUUGAAUCGGGUGCUCUUCGAUGACCAAUGGCGCAUGAGAUCAUGGGAAAUCAGUUUUACAUGUGGAGCAGGAAAAGAUGAUGGAUAUCCUGUCGCGUAUCACCAAUAAUCAGGACUUUGGCAUGGAGGUUCAUCAGAAUGACAAAAUCGACAGUCAUGAUUUUGACAUGCCCUUGUAGUUGCAUCUAGCAAGGUUUUCCCUUGUCGCAUUCAUUGCACCCUCAACUAGAGGUUCAUCAGAAUGACAAAAUCGACAGUCAUGAUUUUGACAUGCCCUUGUAGUUGCAUCUAGCAAGGUUUUCCCUUGUCGCAUUCAUUGCACCCUCAACUAGAUAUCUUGAAUUAUCUGAAGCUGUGCUCUGUUAAAUCAUGCUGGUGGGUAUUAGUCUUUCCAAUUUUCCCUUUGUGCAUUAUCGAAGAUCAGCAGCUUUGCUUCUUGUAAAGUUAGAAUUUGAAAGUGAGGUUGCUCAUGGUUCCAUGGGGUACUAAAAGCGGCUCACAUGGACUGCUUCCACUACAAGUUGUACAAUUCUUGUAGCUUGGCCCUCUCCUUCAGAACUGUUAUCGAGAGAAACAUGCAUUGUAGAUCCAACAAAAUAAAGCAUUUGAUAUGAUAUGACAUCUAUCUUUUGUCGAGUUGCAGGAAGCUGGUGUAAUAGCCUUUUCUACACCUAGCCCCAGGUUUUCCAAACAAUAAGGUUGCUGGCCAUGUUGAUCCUGUGGUCUACACCAACAGUGAGCCCACGCCCAGCUACCUCCACUGUCAUUCUAUUAAGACCAUUCAAUGGUGUUCAAUACUAGUGGUGGUGUGUCAUUGUAAUGAGGCUUAGCUGAAACCAGCUUUUCUACCGCUUCACAGGCCUCUUGCCUUGGAUUUUAAAAGCCUACAGGGUGGGUCUCCUUCCCUCCACCUUCUAACUCUGAGUUGUUCCCCCCUGAGCUCUUAAGAAACGAGCCAUGGAGAGUCAUCCUUCUUUCAGCAUUGCCGCCGCUGCCACCCCAACGCCUCGGCCUGUCCUCAUCGCGGUUCUCGUCCUGGCGACGUUCCAGAUUGCAAUCGCCAUGGUGCACGAAGCUGAAUUGGCACGAUUCUGCAGCCAUUACCGGCACCAGCAUGAAGAGAGCUCCACCUCCUCGCCACACCACAUGCCUUCCUGGUGCUCCCAGAUCUUGCAAAGUCUGCUUCCGCUGCCACCGCCCGAUGAAGUUGAUCCAAGGUAUGGGGUGGAGAAGCGGCUCGUGCCGACGGGGCCCAACCCUCUGCACAACUGAACUGAUUAGUGUUUCAUCAUCAUCAGAAGUAUGUGGUCUCCCAGCCUGUGUGUUCUGGUCAUCUCAAUCUCUCCUAUAUAUUGUAUUGUUUGGCUACAACUUACUCCUCUUCUCUACCUUCUUCUCAUUUCCCUGAUGCUUUUUUUGAGGGGAACUUGAGGCUGUAUUGAAUGAGGCUUGGUGUGAGCUCUCUUGUUCAGAGAAGAGCUGUUUAAUGAUAUGUUUAAUGGAGUUUAGAGACUUACAGUGGAGGAUAUGUUGGAAUCCUAAUGUUCUACUUUGCUA